rnacentral:rRNA from 1 species
UGCGUAGGCGGCAGUUUAAGUCUGAUGUGAAAGCUCCGGGCUCAACCCGGAAAUUGCAUUGGAUACUAUUCUGCUAGAGGAUCGGAGGGGGGACUGGAAUUCUUGGUGUAGCAGUGAAAUGCAUAGAUAUCAAGAGGAACACCAGUGGCGAAGGCGAGUCCCUGGACGAUUCCUGACGCUGAGGCACGAAGGCUAGGGUAGCAAACA